rnacentral:lncRNA from 1 species
CCAAGAACAUUCUUGGACUGUAAACUCAUCUCCUUAGACCUUAAACUCAUUUUUAUGUGUUAAGAUGCUACUUAAACACACCAUGAGCCUUAGAAAAGAGUCUAGAAGCAACCACAAUCAAGUUAAGGACCUUAAAUCAUGCCAAAACUACCCCCAUGGAUGUUUACGACUGUAAACCUCCCAAGAACAUCUUCUUAGGCCGUAAACUCCAUUAUAUGGUCCUUAUGUGAGUUUAAUCCAUUCUGAUGCCCUAGUUUUGAUCCUAGCUAAUCUUCCCAAGUAAUAUAAGGCCAUUUAGCAUCAUGGGACAACCCACCAAUGAGUUUACGGCCGUAAACUCAUGUGGAAUGGUCAUUAGGGUCGUAAACCCUCUUGUAAGUUUACUCUUGAAGAGUAAACUACAUAUCCAAGCUUUAUGUGUCCUUGAAUGCCACCCGGGUCCUUCCAAACACUUGUAAGGGAGUGUUUCCGCAACUAGAUGUGUUUGUCUCUACCAACUAAAUAAUAUAAGUCCUAAUUAGAUACAAAUAGGUAUCUUUUCAUAAUUCAUAGGAACCUCGUGCGUUUUCAAACCCAGAAACGACGUUUAGGAUCCGAGCAGACAUGUUCCUCGUCCGGUGAGUUCAUACCCCUACACUUUUUAAAUGGUUUUUCAAUGUUUUCAGGGGGGGAAUACAAGCAAAUUAAAAAAAAUUUCAAAACAUAACAUUGAUGAAUUUCAAUGAAUAUCUGGCAAAUUAUAAAUAUUUUUACCCCUUAUGUAUUUUGCUGAGCAUAAGGGAUGAUUUAUCAAUCACAACUAUAUGAAUUUCAGAAAAGGAAAUAACAAAACUAAUCAAAUUAUUAUGGGAAUAAUUUGGGGUUCUUUGGUUCUCAUUUCAUCGCGUAUUGAUAUAUAUAAAGUUUAUUAGAUAAACUAUGUCUGAUUCAGUUAUCUCCAUUUCACUUAGUGUAUAUUGCUAGAUAAUUUCAUUGUAUAUAACUUUUUUCACUGUAUUGUGUUUCAUAUCGUUUAGUAUGUUUGAUAUCGUUUGAGAAUUCCGUGAAUACUUAGUACUAGUUUGUGAGAUUUGUCAUUACCCUUUUGGGUUAUUAGUAAAUCCUCCCCGGAAGUGUAACCAGAGUCUCCAAGAGGGAGAGCGUGGAAUUUGUGAAUAGAUCUAUUCGGGACUGACAAUCCCACACCUUAACUGCUAGCUACAGUUAGGCGGGCACGCCUGGGGUGACAGAUUCUGGAUAUCGUCCGACGUCUGACAAGCGUCAAGGAGGUCUCGGUGUCAUAUUAGCAUGGUUACCCGACUCACAAUAUGUAUUAAUAUAAGUUUAUUCAUGGCUUUGGUUUUGGAUUUGAUUUUAUAUCAAUCUUCUAUCUUCAGACCUUAUAUCUAGUACGGGAUGGUAAUCCCAUGGUUUUUAAUCUAUAGGUUUCAUAUCUAUUGCAGGAUGUUAUUCCUAUGGUUAGAAUCUAUAUCUAGUUCGGGAUAGUAAUCCCAUGAUUUUAUCAAACUAUCUUAUAUCUAGUUCGGGAUAGUAAUCCCAUGGUUUUGAAACUAUAUCUUGUACGGGAUGAUAAUCCCAUGGUUUUAAAUCUAUGUCUAGUCCGGGAUGGCAGUCCCAUGGUUUUCAAUCUAUAUUUUCAUAUACAUCAAACUAUCUUGUAUCUAGUCUGGGAUGGUAGUCCCAUGGUAUUAAAUCUAUAUUUUCAUGUAUAUCAAGCUAUCUUAUAUGUAGUACGAGAUGUUAGUCCCAUGGUUUUCAAACUACUUUCCAUCUACAGUUUACGUAUAUUAAAGUAUUUUUAUAUCUAAUUCGAGAUAGUAAUCCAAUGAUUCUCAAUAUAUAGUUUUGUGUAUUAAACUAUACUCUGUGAUAUUCAAUCGGUCUUGUAUUUAGGAAAAUAUGGGAUUUUCCUGGGGUAACAUAUAACACGUAAUUGAACUAGUAAUGAAGGAUAACUAAACUGUUUUACAUAAGAAAAUAUGGGAUUUUCUUGGAUAACAAACCUUUUCGGAAAACUAAAGGAAAAUGGUACAUUUUCAGAAAACAAACAUCUUAUAAACUCACCAGCUUAAUGCUGAUUUUCAAACUGCUUGUAUUCUCAGGUCCGCAUUAGACAGGUACCUGGUGAUCUCUUUUGGUGAAGACGGAGUGUGUAGAAGAUUCGUCUCGUUUUGUUCAUAUAGACUAUGUAUCACACUUGCACAAUUUACUUUUGAAACAAAUGUAAACUUUCUNAUGUAUCACACUUGUACAAUUUACUUUUGAAACAAAUGUAAACUUUCUAUUAUAUGUAAAGUAAUGGUUGUUUACUUUGAUUAUUAUGUGCAUUGGAUUUGAUACUCAACGUGGAGUCAACCCCGGAAAUGUUUCCGCCUUUGGUUUUUGGGGUGUGACUGUUGGGUUUUGAGCAUUCUAACACUCCUAUAGUGUACACGCAACCCUAUAUACCUUGGAUCUAUGUUUUNAUAUAAACACUAAAGGGCCUAAGUGCUCUGAACUAAAAGUAUCUUUCAAAAUAUAAGUAUCUUCAAAAGUAUACAAGUAUACCGAGCCGUCGAGAUCCGUAACUACAAGUAGAACAAAACAUAAGUAAAUGGGUGUUGUACGCUGCGGUUAAACCUGGGCAGUUAUGUAGUCAUGUCUAGGAUCAAUAUAGCCUGGCCAACUAUAUUCAUUCGAGACACGGCCAACAUGUGCUUGGGAGUGACUAUGGUAUGCGGCAUACCUAAAACUUACCCAAUACCCCAAACAACGAGGCGUCGUUGCAGUGAAUCAUGAAAUACUAUGGGAGUAUUUCUCGAGUCAAUCCUUUGUAGAAAAUCCUUGUAUACGUGUUGUUACUUGAUCAUUCCUCUAGCGAUAAAAUGUUCUGCCUUGAUAACUCUUUCCUGCUUUAUCGGUUAAUAUGAUGCUAUAUCUGUCUUGAUGAGAUAUCCUCUGUUCCAUAUAUCAUGAUCCAAUUCAGAGGACUUAUGAUCCUCUCUUUCCUGAUCUUUUUCGAUCACGAUUCCUCCAAGGAAGAGACCCAGCUCGAAGAACACCAACAACCCUCAGCCGCCACCUCCUCCUGAAAUCGACCCCGUGGUAUUUCAGGCAGCUGUUACCGUUGUGGUGGCAGCUGCUAUGUCUCAACUGAACACCAAUGGUUCCAGUGGUUCGGGAGGUGAUACCCAAACCCAAAACCAAGAGAACAGUCAGGGACACCGAAAAGAGGGUUCCUAUAAGGACUUCAUGAAUGCGAAACCCACAUCCUUUAAUGGCACCGGAGGUGUCAUUUCCCUCACCCGAUGGUUCGAGAAAAUCGAAUCAAUCUUUGAAAUAUGCGUCUGUUCGGAGUCUGACAAAGUAAAGUUCGCCGCCUGCACCAUCCUUGACAAAACCCUUACUUGGUGGAACGGCCGAGUUAAAUCCUUAACUCUACCUGUAGCAAAUGCUAUGGGUUAGGAAGCUAUGAAGGAGCUUCUGCUCGCUGAGUAUUGCCCUCGGGGCGAAAUACAGAAACUAUAACAUGAACUCUGGAACCUAAAGAUGAAGGGUUCCGACAUAGCCGCUUAUACUUCAAGAUUCGAUGACCUGGCAUUACUCUGCCCAGGAAUGGUUACCCCGGAGAGUAAAAAGAUUAAGAAAUUCAUCUGGGGGUUAACCCAGCCAACAAAAGGGAAUGUCUUGGCUGCGAAGCCAGACACCUAUGACAGCACUAAAUGUCUGGCACAAACUCUGAUUGAUCACGAAGACAACUCUGAUGAAGAGGCUACCACUCCCAAGCCAGUCACAAGUGGAGGUGGAAGUAAAAAGAAAUGGUGGAACAAGCGGAAGGCCCAAAGUACGCAAGGUUUUUCUAAGAAACAGCAAACGGUAGCAAUCCAUGCUGCUACUGCCCUUGUUGCUAUUUCAGCUGUUGGAUCCAUGACCCAAACUCCUACCAGUUGAUACACUGGUACCCUUCCUUGGUGCGGUAAGUGAAGCUACCAUCACCGUAUUCUUGGUCCAUGUUGCGAAAGAAUCUAUGACAAUUGUGGCAAGAAGGGCCACCUUGCUCGAACCUGUAGAAAACCAGCCAAAUCAACAAACCAAUCAUCUGGAACGGGAAUCAGUCCAACCUGCUACAGUUGUGGCGAAGUAGGGCACUUCAAAAGAAAUUGCCCCAAAACAGCAACAACCGGUAACAACGGAAGAGUCCUAGCAAUAGGACGAGAGGAGACAACCCGCUGAUCCCGCUGUCGCCGCAGGUAUACCCCUCUUUGACAUCUCUUAUACCUGCAACUCUUUUCGAUUCUAGUACUAAAAGGGAAACCUAAUAUCUAUCCAUUCGAACAUUUUCUAAACUUAAUCCUUCGUUUGUAAUCGAAAUUGUGUACCGUCGAGACGGCUAACCAGUGAGAUAGAGAGCACUAACUUCAUACCUAUAGAUCUUAUUCUCAGUCCGGAGGAUUAUUCUGUUCCAAUCAAUUUAAUGGAAAAACUUUUCACGAAAUACUUUGAUGCUAUGUUUGACAUGUAAUGACCGAGUCUCAUUCAUGUCGUUAUUCUUGAUUUCGAAAGGGUCGCCCGUCUAGAUCUUUCCCCCGACUCGACUCUCGUGAUCUUCGGCAUCAAACAUUCGCACCAUUUCGUGCUUCAAAGCUCAAAAAGUUUUUCCGAUAAGAAUUGUCGCACAUCCCUCGUUCCUGUGAUUAUCGGGAAACGGGAAGUCUGCACCUCUUUUCCCUAAAUGUUUUUCCGAAGGACUCCCGAAAAUUCCUUCCGAACGUUUAGUCUAGCCUCGCAUCGGCCUAAUCUCUGGAACUACCUCGUGACCAAACCUCAGUGAGAAUGACAUGUCCAAGACGGUGACCAAGAAUUCAUAUGAUCACUACGGAUUGGUAGUGGUACCCUUCGGUCAAACCAUUUUCCUUGAUCAUGUAGCUAAGCAAAGCAGUCAUACCUGUGAACCUUUCCAACGACUAAGGCGGUAGGGAAUUAGUCGGCACCAGAGAUACCCAUAGAAACCUGUCGAUUCUUGGGUCCUAUCGACUAUUAUCGUGGACCUACCCAUAAAAUUCUACUAGAGCUAUCAGACCCUUAGCUACUCUGCUUUACGAAGAUGUGUUUUCCUGUUGGAGCGUGUGUUCCGUUGAAAGCUUUGUUCCAGAAAAGCAUAAUAUGCUUUGAGAAGUGCGAACUACUUCCCUCAUGAUACAUUGGACCCUUUGCGAUCCUCGUAGAAUCGAUUUCGUAACCUUCAAACUUCGGCUACCCUCAGAGAUUAGUAACAUCCAUCUAGUACUUCACGUUUCUGUAUUUAAGAAGUACCUACCCGAUGAAAUCCUGAUAAUCCCCUUUGAUGAGACAGGAAUCAAGGAAGGUCUGAGCAUCAUUGUAGAACCAAUCGAAUUCAUAGAUCAAGAGGUUAAACGUAUGAAACAAGUUAUAUCCCGAAAGGUGAAAGGUUUCCCCGGAAUGUCAUACGAGAAUCUGGAUUCACUUGGAAGAUUGAUGAUCCAAUAGAACAGAGUAUUCGUAUUCUCCUUCCAAACCCGCAAUUCGCAGCUAAAGUUUGAAUUUCGGGACGAAAUCCUCUCUAACGGGGGGAUAAUGUGACACCCCAUAAUUUAUUCCGUCGCCUUAACCCGGUUCCGUUAAUAAAGCCAUUACGUUCCAAAAGUUUUCGUUAACUUUGUUUUAAUUUAAUUUAAUUUAUUUGCGACUCUAUUUAAUUUUCAUAAGUGACGGGAUACAUUUAAAUUCAUUAAAAUAUUUUCUAUUUUUAUUUAGAAAAUAUUUAGUUUCGUCUAAGUCGUAAUUUCGGUAAAUUUACCGGGUGCGACCAAAAGCUUCGUCUAGCGUCGGUAUUGGGUAGAAUUCCACCGUGCCCUAAACUUUGAGCAUGUAUAAAGUUGAGAGAGCCUCAUUUGAAGUUUUUCCACUCUCUCUACUAUCUCUCUCUACUUUCUCUCUCUAGAAAUCGAAAUUAAGCUAAAAAUCAUCCAAAACAAGCUCCAAAACAUCAAGGUAAAUAUCCUAGCUUCUAGUUUAACACCUUUGGCCUUCAAAUUCAUGAAAUAUAUGAGGAAUGGGACCAUAAACAAGUGUUUACGGUCUUGGACCCUCCUUAGACCGUGAACACAUGAAAAAGGGGGGGUUUUGUGCCAAAAAACCCUUCCAAACUUCAUUUGGAGCCUAGAUGUGCCUAAAGGACUUGCAUGCAUGGAUUUAGAACACCUUAAACUCUUUAUUUAGGGCAUGAACAUGAGUUUACGGCCCAAGCACAUGCUUGGACCGUAAACACCCAUUCUUGGGGAGUAAACUCAAUUUAUGAUGUUAGUUUUCCCUAAACACCGCCAACAAGCUUCCAUGAGUGUUUAGAACCCAAAAAUCCUUCAAGAAAUGCACCAAAACUUAUUUAAAGGGGGGGUAAGCUUGAGUUUACGGCCCAAGAACAUUCUUGGACCAUAAACUCAUCUCCUUAGACCUUAAACUCAUUUUUAUGUGUUAAGAUGCUACUUAAACACACCAUGAGCCUUAGAAAUGAGUCUAGAAGCAACCACAAUCAAGUUAAGGACCUUAAAUCAUGCCAAAACUACCCCCAUGGAUGUUUACGGCCGUAAACCUCCCAAGAACAUCUCCUUAGGCCGUAAACUCCAUUAUAUGGUCCUUAUGUGAGUUUAAUC